GCCGGGAUAGCUCAGCUGGGAGAGCAACAGACUGAAGUGACAUAGCCCGCGCGCUUUCUGGAGGUCCCGUGUUCAAUCCACGGUCCUGGCA